CUUCCUUUAUGCAUCUUGUUUAUUUGGAGUAGAGAAGUUGCUAGGAUCACUUUUUCCCUCCCACUUUUUUGGAAGCCUGUAUUAUCUUUAUGCAGCCACUCCAAUUACUAUCCACAAGUGCCGCCUCAUUAUUUUUUUUUGUAAUCAAUGCAGUCAGGGAUACACCAAGACAAUUUGUUAGUCCACCCUCUUGGGACUCUAAAAUACACAUAGCGAAUUCAGGCAGAUGUGUGCAUACAGUCAAGUUCUUUAAAAGCUGCUCGUCUUCACCUGGUUUGUAUCAAGAACUAAGAGGAGGAAAUAACAAUGACCUUGUAUGCCCCAAUUUUCCUGUUAGUUGUUUCAAAAUAAGAACUUUUCAGCAGCUCUAUGUUCACACAAUUUCACCUCAUUUAUCAGCAUGCCUGCUUUGCUUUGUCCAUCCCAUCUCCAAAUAAAAUAUUUAAGAGCCUUCAUUUCCCCCCUUUGCCUGUCUGGAUAGUGUUCUACCUUUUCACUCCACAAUCAUAAAUGGAGAAAGCAGUAGCACACCACUUAUCCCAAGCAACCCUCAUCUUCCUUCACUGGAGUGGGGAGCAAUUAUCACAAAAGGUACAGAUGUCAGUCUCCAACUGCUUAGGGGUAAAUUACAGAACAGAGAGCAGAGAUCAAAA